rnacentral:rRNA from 1 species
UUAUUUUCAGGAAGCUUUCGGGUGGAAUGAACUUAACUUAGCGGCGGACGGGUGAGUAACGCGUGGGCAACCUACCCUGUACAGGGGGAUAACAAUGGGAAACCAUUGCUAAUACCCCAUAAUACCUUUUAGGGGCAUCCCUUUAAGGUCAAAGAAUUUCGGUACAGGAUGGGCCCGCGUCUGAUUAGCUAGUUGGUGAGGUAAUGGCUCACCAAGGCGACGAUCAGUAGCCGGCCUGAGAGGGUGAACGGCCACACUGGAACUGAGACACGGUCCAGACUCCUACGGGAGGCAGCAGUGGGGAAUUCUACAUUGGGGGCGAAAGCCUGAUGCAGCAACGCCGCGUGAGCGAUGAAGGCUUUCGGGUCGUAAAGCUCUGUCCUAAGGGAAGAUAAUGACGGUACCUUAGGAGGAAGCCCCGGCUAACUACGUGCCAGCAGCCGCGGUAAUACGUAGGGGGCAAGCGUUAUCCGGAAUCAUUGGGCGUAAAGGGUGCGUAGGCGGCCCUAUAGGUCAGAGGUCAAAGGCUACGGCUCAACCGUAGUAAGCCUUUGAAACUGUAGGGCUUGAGUGCAGGAGAGGAGAGUGGAAUUCCUAGUGUAGCGGUGAAAUGCGUAGAUAUUAGGAGGAACACCAGUGGCGAAGGCGACUCUCUGGACUGCAACUGACGCUGAGGCACGAAAGCGUGGGGAGCGAACAGGAUUAGAUACCCUGGUAGUCCACGCCGUAAACGAUGAGUGCUAGGUGUCGGGGGUCGAACCUCGGUGCCGCAGCUAACGCAUUAAGCACUCCGCCUGGGGAGUACGUUCGCAAGAAUGAAACUCAAAGGAAUUGACGGGGACCCGCACAAGCAGCGGAGCAUGUGGUUUAAUUCGAAGCAACGCGAAGAACCUUACCUGGACUUGACAUCCCUCGGACCGCUUUUUAACCAAAGCCUUCCCUUCGGGGACUGA